rfam:Chaetura pelagica isolate M959 contig25328, whole genome shotgun sequence.
CAAAUGGUUCUAUUUAGAACCAUCCCAAAACUCAUUGCAGUGUAUG